GGGACCGAGGCUCAGGGAGACGAUUUGCUGGCUAUUAAUAGACCAGCUCUGACCACGUGGCUUUUGCUCUGACCCUGGGGAUUGUAUGGUGGGGUAUUUUUAAAACUGGAGUGGCAUUGGCCUUACACCCUUUUUUGGCAAAGAUGGAGAGGACUCUUCCACCUUCCCCAGAAGUGUCCCAUAGUGAAAGAGCUCUGAGGUGGAUGAGGCCUUCCCCUUCCACCACACAGCCAGGGUCCUGUUCAGCUGACCAGCCGACCUGCUGCCACUCCCAGUCACCUGCCCUGCUCCCAUGGCUCCUGGCGCCAUGAUGCGCCUCCCGUCUGCACCCACGCACACCCCAUUGGUGCUCAGCCGCCGUGGGCGCGAGUCAGACAGAAUGUCACAAAUAAAUCCUCUCCUGCAUUUGCAUAUUAAUUGGAUCGGAGACGUCAAGCAUCUUUCAUUAAAGAAAAUGAUCUCGCAUAUUUGGAGA
rnacentral:lncRNA from 1 species